UGCAGUCAAGUCAAAUUCAGCUUCCAUCCUUUUAUGGUGGGAGCUGACCCAGAAGGCUGUCACAGCAAAGCUCUGCUGCUCAUGGUCCCUGUGUCCUCUGCACUGGGACCUAGGGAUAAGGUUGGCUGCAGACAAAA